GACGAACGCUGGCGGCGUGCUUAACACAUGCAAGUCGAACGGUGAAGCGCCUUCCUUUUUGGUGGGUGUGGAUGAGUGGCGAACGGGUGAGUAACACGUGAGUAACCUGCCCCCUUCUUCUGGAUAACCGCAUGAAAGUGUGGCUAAUACGGGAUAUUCUGGGUCUGUCGCAUGAUGGGUCUGGGAAAGAUAUUGUUUCGGUGGGGGAUGGGCUCGCGGCCUAUCAGCUUGUUGGUGGGGUGAUGGCCUAGCAAGGCGGUGACGGGUAGCCGGCCUGAGAGGGUGGACGGUCACACUGGGACUGAGACACGGCCCAGACUGCUACGGGAGGCAGCAGUGGGGAAUAUUGCACAAUGGGCGCAAGCCUGAUGCAGCGACGCCGCGUGAGGGAUGGAGGCCUUCGGGUUGUGAACCUCUUUCGCCAGUGAAGCAGGCCUGCCUCGUUUGUGGGUGGGUUGACGGUAGCUGGAUAAGAAGCGCCGGCUAACUACGUG
rnacentral:rRNA from 1 species